GAAGCUCUCAACCCUAUCAUGGCCAUCGUUCAUUUCCAGACAUUCCCAUUCUUUCUUAACGUAGAGGGCUGCACCACUGCCUUUCCUGCCUUGCCUCUCUCUUUUGAAAAGUCGCUAGCCAUCCAUCACAGCACUCCAGCUGUGUGAGUCAUUCCACCACGUUUCUGUGAUUUUUCUCCUGUUUUUGGAUUCCAAGAAAAGCCAGGUAGGAUUAUUUUUAUUGUUAUUCUUUUUUUAAUGGCAGGCAUUGUGUUCAACUUAAAAAAGGAACGCAUGAAGAAUAGCUUUGUUUGCAUUCUGGUGAGUGUUUCUCUUCCAGAUCUUUGAAUCAGCUUUCUACACGGCUUAAGCGAUGGAACAGGAAAGACUCCAAUAUGGUAACAACGUGAUUUCUAGUGUUUUGGAAAGAUUGUUUCACGUGUAAUGAAAAGCUAGUGUCCAGAUGAUCACUGCGGCCAGAUGCCAAUUUUGAUGCCCUCGUCACUAAGACUUGUCCAAGCCCUGAUGUAUGUGAAGCUCAUCAGGAGGGAAUGCUCGCAAGAAUCAGCUAACACAAUAGCAGCAAGCUUUCAGUGACAGCGUUCAGGAAGGGUGACGAUUCAGGCUGGGAGCAGGUAUGUCAUCACCUGACUUGACCACAUGUAACUUGAUGCUAGAAGUACACCACGUCCUCCCUCCCUGCAUGGCAAGAGAUUGCUCUCUUCUCCUGCAAAGGCAGCCAAAGUAACUUCUGUGUGCUGACUAGAGAGAGAAAACUUGGUGUCACUCCUCGCAAGUCCUGUGGCAGCCAGAUACUGUGUUAGCCACUCACAGGUAGCAUGUCUUUGGUAUCAGGGUGUAAGAGAAUGAACUCUGUAGGAGCGCUGCUGUCAUAGGCCACCAAGGGCCCGGGAUGCCUGGCUGAAAUUUGAUGUUGCAGAUACCUUGGUGUCACUGGAAUCCAUGGAGUUGACACAGUCCUCUGAUGGCUGGAUUUCGGCUUUCUAAGGGUAUUCCUUUCUGUUUCUCAUCUUUUCGGGUGAUAUUGCUUUGCUUUCCUUGGCUUUUUAGUAAUUCCUAUUUUGGUUAUUGUUUCUGGAAUGG